AUUGAACGCUGGCGGCAUGCUUUACACAUGCAAGUCGAACGGCAGCGCGGGCUUCGGCCUGGCGGCGAGUGGCGAACGGGUGAGUAAUACAUCUGAACGUGCCCAGUAGUGGGGGAUAGCUCGGCGAAAGCCGGAUUAAUACCGCAUACGACCUGAGGGUGAAAGCGGGGGAUCUUCGGACCUCGCGCUAUUGGAGCGGCCGAUGGCAGAUUAGCUAGUUGGUGGGGUAAAGGCCUACCAAGGCGACGAUCUGUAGCUGGUCUGAGAGGACGACCAGCCACACUGGGACUGAGACACGGCCCAGACUCCUACGGGAGGCAGCAGUGGGGAAUUUUGGACAAUGGGCGAAAGCCUGAUCCAGCAAUGCCGCGUGUGUGAUGAAGGCCUUCGGGUUGUAAAGCACUUUUGGCGGGAACGAAAAGGACUGUGCCAAUACCACGGUUCGAUGACGGUACCCGCAGAAUAAGCACCGGCUAACUACGUG
rnacentral:rRNA from 1 species